CCUACGGGAGGCAGCAGUGAGGAAUAUUGGACAAUGGGGGAAACCCUGAUGCAGCGACGCCGCGUGAGGGAAGAAGUAAUUAGUUACGUAAAGCUCUAUCAGCAGGGAAGAAAAUGACGGUACCUGAGUCAGAAGCCCCGACUAACUACGUGCCAGCAGCCGCAGUACUACGUAGGGGGCAAGCGUGAUCCGGAGUUACUGGGUGUAAAGGGAGCGUAGACGGUGCGACGAGUCUGGAGUGAAAUGCCGCAGCUUAACUGCGGAACUGCUUUGGAAACUGGCGAACUAGAGUGCGGGAGGGGUAAGCGGAAUGCGUAGUGUAGCGGUGAAAUGCGUAGAUAUUAGGAGGAACACCGGUGGCGAAGGCGGCUUACUGGACCGUAACUGAAGUUGAGGCUCGAAAGCGUGGGGAGCAAACAGGAUUAGAUACCCCUGUAGUC
rnacentral:rRNA from 1 species